AGCAAUGCCCACAUUCACCCUGAACACACCCGAUCUCGUCUGAUCUCGGAAGCUAAGCAGGGUCGGGUCUGGUUAGUACUUGGAUGGGAGACCACAUUCAAUAUGGUUCUAAAGGAAGUGUUC
rnacentral:rRNA from 1 species